rnacentral:misc_RNA from 2 species
UGUUGGGAGUGUUAGAAAUUCUGUGUCAUUCCUUUUUUGAUUAUAUAUUACUGGAAUGACACAGAAUUUCUAACACUCCCGCUA